rnacentral:rRNA from 1 species
CAUGCAAGUCGACGAGGGCUUCGGCCCUAGUGGCGCACGGGUGAGUAACGCGUGGGAACCUGCCCUGUGGUACGGAAUAACUCCGGGAAACUGGAGCUAAUACCGUAUGCGUCCUGCGGGACAAAGAUUUAUCGCCAUGGGAUGGGCCCGCGUAGGAUUAGCUUGUUGGUGGGGUAACGGCCUACCAAGGCUUCGAUCCUUAGCUGGUCUGAGAGGGUGAUCAGCCACACUGGGACUGAGACACGGCCCAGACUCCUACGGGAGGCAGCAGUGGGGAAUAUUGGGCAAUGGGCGCAAGCCUGAUCCAGCAAUGCCGCGUGAGUGAUGAAGGCCUUCGGGUUGUAAAGCUCUUUCGCACGCGACGAUGAUGACGGUAGCGUGAGAAGAAGCCCCGGCUAACUUCGUGCCAGCAGCCGCGGUAAUACGAAGGGGGCUAGCGUUGUUCGGAAUUACUGGGCGUAAAGGGCGCGUAGGCGGUACUUCAAGUCAGGCGUGAAAGCCCCGGGCUCAACCUGGGAACCGCGCUUGAGACUGGAGAACUAGAGUUCGGGAGAGGAUGGUGGAAUUCCCAGUGUAGAGGUGAAAUUCGUAGAUAUUGGGAAGAACACCGAUGGCGAAGGCAGCCAUCUGGACCGACACUGACGCUGA